rnacentral:lncRNA from 1 species
AGAACUUCUGUUUAUAUUUCUUUUCUCAUUGUUUCCAGUUUUGAUGUUUCAUACAGUGCAUAGUAUAUCGGCACAGUAGUGCAGUCCUACUCAUAAAUAAAUAUGCAUGUAUUGUAAAGAGUCGGAGAGGACUAUUGGAGUCCACUGAGCUAAAGAAAUGAAUGCAGGUUGAAGGCCUGGGGGAGAGAUUCUCACCUGAGACGAGCCCCAUUUCCUUCUUCAUGCUAUCUAAACUGGCUCCCAGUACCUCCCAGUGUCAUGUGCCCAGACCUGGUGCGAAGCCAGCACAAAACCUACUUUCACGCAGUUUAGCAAAAAUCAGCCUGGAUUCAGCUAUGACCUCUGAUUUCAAACAUAUUUGA